GAAGGAAGCAAGGGCAUAUAGUGGAUGCCUUGGCACU
rnacentral:rRNA from 1 species